rnacentral:piRNA from 1 species
UACGCACUGAGGAUGCUGAGGGUGGACCAUU